UAUAGUCAGUACUGGCACUGAAACAAAUCUCCGUUUCAGUUCUUGAAAACUACUUUCACACUUAUCUGACAAUUGUAACUUCACUUCUUUCUAGUCAAAUGUGUCAGUGGAUCAAUUAUCUUAGAAAAUCCUUCAAUAAAUCUCCGAUAGCAGACCUAAAAAACUAUGAACUUCACCUAUAUUGGUCACCUACUAUUGCUGAUCUCCUCCUUUACAGAUAGCAUGCUGUUUUGAAGGUCACUUUUACUUUGUAGUGUCAGCUGAUAAUCUUGACUGCCUUGAGAAUCCAUCAAUUUUCUCUUCCUUGAAGAAAUUUUCCUUUUAUUGCAUGUAAUCACGUCCAGGGACCCAUUAUCCAAUAAUUCCUGCACAUUAUCUUUCUGUUCUUUCCUAGAAAUUUGUAACUUCUCUCUCCCCCCAGUCUUGAAUCAAGUACCCUAAGUUUUCUCUUAUCCUUCAAAUCCAUCUUAUUUGGCA
rnacentral:lncRNA from 1 species